rnacentral:rRNA from 1 species
GACGAACGCUGGCGGCGUGCUUAACACAUGCAAGUCGAACGGAAAGGCCCUGCUUUUGUGGGGUGCUCGAGUGGCGAACGGGUGAGUAACACGUGAGUAACCUGCCCUUGACUUUGGGAUAACUUCAGGAACCUGGGGCUAAUACCGGAUAGGAGCUCCUGCUGCAUGGUGGGGGUUGGAAGGUUUCGGCGGUUGGGGAUGGACUCGCGGCUUAUCAGCUUGUUGGUGGGGUAGUGGCUUACCAAGGCUUUGACGGGUAGCCGGCCUGAGAGGGUGACCGGCCACAUUGGGACUGAGAUACGGCCCAGACUCCUACGGGAGGCAGCAGUGGGGAAUAUUGCACAAUGGGCGGAAGCCUGAUGCAGCAACGCCGCGUGCGGGAUGACGGCCUUCGGGUUGUAAACCGCUUUCGCCUGUGACGAAGCGUGAGUGACGGUAAUGGGUAAAGAAGCACCGGCUAACUACGUG